rnacentral:rRNA from 1 species
ACGAGUUUGAUCAGUCGGCUCGAAGGACGAACGCUGGCGGCGUGCCUAACACAUGCAAGUCGAACGGGGUGAUUCCUUCGGGGAUCACUUAGUGGCGAACGGGUGAGUAACGCGUGAGAAACCUGCCUUCCAGUGGGGGACAACAGUUAGAAAUGACUGCUAAUACCGCAUAAUGUUUUCGAGGGGCAUCCCUUGAAAACCAAAGCUUUAUGUGCUGGAAGAUGGUCUCGCGUCUGAUUAGCUAGUUGGUGAGGUAACGGCUCACCAAGGCGACGAUCAGUAGCCGGUCUGAGAGGAUGAACGGCCACAUUGGGACUGAGAUACGGCCUAGACUCCUACGGGAGGCAGCAGUGGGGAAUAUUGGGCAAUGGGGGAAACCCUGACCCAGCAACGCCGCGUGAAGGAAGAAGGCCUUCGGGUUGUAAACUUCUUUUAGCAGGGACGAAGAACGUGACGGUACCUGCAGAAAAAGCAACGGCUAACUACGUG